UAUUAGGAUGAUUCUGUCCUGAUCCGUUGUUGUUUUUCUUUCAGUGAUGCCUCCGAAAAAGGCGACGGCUGCCCAGAAGAAAAAGGGCGUGGUAGGAGAGACCAGCCGGGCUCAGAAGGGUACUCGGACCCUUGCUCAGAUGAUGCGUGAUAUUGCGUCCCGGCCAGCAGACUCUGCUACGUCUUCAUCAUCAGAGGAGUCUGGGGCAGCUCCACCAGUAGCUCCAGAGGUUCCAGUACCUGAGCCUCCAGCUCCACAGCCAGGGGCUGAGGAUCGGGCUAUGAGAGAUGCGGUCCAGUUGUUGACCAGACUGGUAGCAGGGCAGGUUCAUAGGCACGGACUUGGGGAUGGUCGUGCAGACAGACGUGACAGUUCGAGAGCUCGUGAGUUCCUGACCUGUAAUCCUCCAGAGUUCUUCGGGACAAAGCCCGAGGAGGAUCCUGAGGAGUUUAUCAGGAAGAUGCGGCGCACGUUACAUUUGAUUAAGGCAUCUGCGACAGAGUCAGUCGAGUUGGCUUCGUACCGGUUGUAUGAUGUAGCAGCAAAUUGGUACGAGUCUUGGGAGUUAGCCAGAGGCGUUGGUGCUCCCCCAGCAGUCUGGGAUGAGUUUUCUAAGGCUUUUCUUAGCCAUUUUCUGCCUCCGGAGUUACGGCGGGCCAGGGCUGACAGAUUCUUAUUGCUGAGACAGAGGGGCUGCAGUGUUCGAGAGUACAGUAUGGAGUUCGACUCAUUGGCCCGAUAUGCACCUGCUGUGGUAGCUACUAUGGCUGAUAGAAUGCACAGGUAUAUUAUGGGGCUGGACCGUUAUUUUGUCGACAGUUGCUUGGUAUUGGCCGCUCAGCCCGAUAUGGAUAUUGCCCGGAUUCAGGCGCACGCUCAGGGCAUGGAGGACCGGCACAGGGGUCAUCAGCCCGAUAGGAGUCAGGAUCGGAGACAGCCCAAGAGGGCCAAAUCAUCUGGGUAUUUUGAGGAAUUUCGGAGUGGGCAGCCUCAGCAGCAGCAGCAGUCUAGCAGGCAUUCUUCCCAGCCGGCACAGAGCACACCUCCGCAGUUCUCAGGCAGGAGAUUUGAUAGCCCAGGGUAUUUAGGAGCAGGCCAGAGCUCCGGGGUUUCAGGUUCGCGGGUAGACAGGAGUUCCGGUCAGACGAGGCCACCCAGGCCUCAGUGUUCUUAUUGUGGGAGAUACCACCCUGGAGAGUGCUACCGUGCUACAGGUGCUUGUUAUUCUUGUGGCCGUCAGGGCCAUACUGUGAGAGAGUGUCCGUAUAAGGGUAAUUUGGGAGGUGCUGCGCAGCCUACCGGAUCAGUCGCUGGGUCAUCGUCUCCUUCGAUAGCCAUGCGCCCUGCGGGGCAGGGUACGUCGACAUCAGCAGGCCGCGGCAGAGGUAGUGGCGGGGCUCCCAGUUCAAGCGGUCCUUCGAACCGCAUCUAUGCCUUGACUAGUCGACAGGACCCGGAGGCGCUACCAAACGCGGAUACAGGUAUACUAAUGUCUUUUUCGAAAUAUAAGUGUAUUGACAGAUCUAGCCUCUACUUGUGAUAUAUUUUCCCCAAAAUGCUUACAAGACCCUAUAAGAUUAAUUUAACAUUCGAGGACGAAUGUUCUAAAGGGGGGGAGGAUGUUACAUCCCGUAUUUUUGAACGUCAGAUUAUUUGUAAGCUGAGGUGGGGCCCACACGUCAAGAUUUUUUUUUUAUUUUUUUUGGGACAUGUGACAAAUUAUAUGAAUCACAUAUGUGAAGUUAAACACAACUCAAGAAGGACCCUUGGGCCAAAUCAAAGUGGAAGUCCUCCAAACGAAUAUUUUUAAGAAAACGUUUUCGGGUGACCUGACUUUGGGGGGCAAAAACGGUAUUAUAUGUUUGGAAUUUGGAAAAAUACCAAGAAGUAGAAGUUGUAGAUAAUUGAAUUAUCUUUCCAACCAUAGGUCGUGGGUUCCCAGGUGACGUCGGUACAAGGAGAUAUGGACGUUUUAAGGUCGAAAGGUCAGUGGGCUAGGCCCAACUCGGGACCAACCGAGUUGGCCCAAAAAAAUGAAAAGAAAAAUUUAGGCCCAAGGUGAGAGGGUGGCCGGCCAUACCUGGUCCAAGCCCACCAAAUUAAUUAAUUUCCAUGUGGCAAAUUAAUUAUAAAGGGAUCAUUAUCCCUUAGAUGAUUCAAGAAACUUAGAAGGAGAAAGAACAAACAAAACAAGAGCAAAAAAAAGGGCCAUUUCGGGUUUGGCCAUAGAAAAUUCACCCCUCCAAAUCUUCCUCCAAAAAUUAUUUUCUUGUGGUAUUCCUACUAAUUUAAGGGUCCUUUACAACUUGGUGUAAUUGUUUUGGAAGAAGGAGCACUUAUUUCUUCAAGUUGACAACUUGUUCAAGUGAAGGAAUUGUAGAAAAAGAUUUUGGGCGAAACGGGAAUUGAAUUUGGAAAGGCGUAAAGAGCAUAUAAGGUACAGACGACAGGUUUGCUGAUCCGCACGUUUAGGAUCCCAUUUCUGCUAUUUUGGGGCGCUCUCUUCUACAGAGCCCAUCUUUUGGUACAGUCUGUCACUGCUAUCUAGAUAUGUACUUUGUUCAGGGUAUGACGGGGCCCUGUCCCGUCUUAUGAUUAUGAUAUGUUCUGUAGAGGUCUGUGGAUACAUCUGUGUGGGUUCUGUACAUAUGUUUGGGAUGUUUUGUUUUAUGAUAGCCUUAUCGGCUUCUGUGUGCCAAGUCUGCUCUUCGGCUAAAUUCUGUA